rnacentral:lncRNA from 1 species
AACACAAAGGAUUACCUCAAAUUCCUAUGUGCCUUGGGCUACAGUAAAACACUAAUCUCGAUUUUCUCAAAUGAUAAGUUCAAUUGUCCCAGGACUAAUAUUAGUCUCGCCGAUUUCAACUAUCCUUCGAUCACAGUCCCUGAACUCAAGGGUUUAAUUACCUUGAGUCGAAAAGUAAAAAAUGUAGGUUCACCGACUACUUACAGAGUUACAGUACAAAAACCAAAAGGAAUUUCAGUGACUGUAAAGCCAAAAAUACUGAAGUUCAAAAAAGCUGGAGAAGAGAAAAGUUUCACUGUCACUCUCAAGAUGAAAGCCAAGAAUCCUACCAAGGAGUAUGUGUUUGGAGAGUUGGUGUGGUCGGAUGAAGAUGAACACUACGUAAGGAGUCCUAUAGUGGUGAAAGCAGCUUAAUUGAUUAAUUAGAAACAAUAAUGUUGGUUUAAGAUAUUAUAUUUUUUACCUUUGUGGUAGCAGGAAAAAGAAAUGCCUUCUAGUUUACACACCCAUGUUAUGCUUUAUCAAGAAUAAAAGUCUCUUGCUAUUUUUUUUUGCCAUUUUCGUUUUGUUAAUCAUAUCUAAUGGCCACAAAACUGCGAAAAUGUUGAAAUUCAUAAAUGCAAGAGAUGUUGGAGAUAGGAGGAAAAGGCUAGAGAGACUAAUGAGAAAACUCAAAAUUUUCUAUUGUACUUCUUACAAAAAACCUUUAAGUACAUGAUUAUUUAUAAACUAUAACUACUACAAUUAAUUGUAACUACCAACAAAUAUAAUAAAUCUAAUUUAUGAUCCACAACUGCUACCAAACCAAAUGAUAUAUAAAAACUCUAAUUUAUAAAUUUUAACUACUAACAAACUAAUUACUUAUAUUAUAAUUUACGAAUUAAUUCUUAACAUUCUCCCUUAAUUUGCAAAUCUUGUUUUCAAUCCAAGAUUAAUGCAUAGUUUUUGAAAGACUUCAAACUUGAGUGGUUUGAUGAAAAUAUCCACCACUUGAUCUUUAGUCUUUACGUGCUUGAGAUCUACUUCCUUUUUAGCAAUGCAAUCUUUAAUAAAAUAAUAUCUUGUGUCUAUGUGUUUGCUCCGUUCAUGAAAUACCGGGUUCUUGGCUAAUGCUUAUGCGAACUUAUUAUCAAUAAAAGUUUUAAUAGCUUCAUUCUAUAUUAAAUAAAGUUCUUUCAAUAAUUUUGUAAGUCAUCUGGCAUGACAAGCACAAGAGGUUGAUGUCACAUAUUCAGACUCACAAGUUGAUAGUAUAACAAUGACUUACUUCUUAAAACUCUAUGUAAUUGCACAAUCACCCAUUAAUAAUAAAAAAUCAGUUGUAUUUUUUCUAUCACCAAUAUUUCCAACGAAAUCACUAUUACAAAAUUUUACAAACUUGAAAUUAUUAGAAAAUGAAUAAAAUAACCCAAAGUCAAUAAUAUCUUUAAGGUAAUGUAGAACUCUUUUAGCAACAUUCAUUUGGGAGGUAGUAGCAGCUUCUACAAAACGACUUAUUAGUCCAACUGUAAAAAGAAUAUCAGACCUUGUAAAUGUCAAGUAUCUCAAACUUUCUAUAAGAUUUUUAAAGAGAGUGGGAUCUAUUUUUUCUCCAUUAUCAAACUUUGAUAACUUGACUCCACAUUCCAUCGGUGUGUUCACAAGAUUACAAUUAAGCAUUUUGAAUUUCUCUAAGACUUUUCUUGCAUAUCCUUAUUGAGAAAUAAAAAUACCAUCUUCCAUUUGCUUCACCUCAAGGCCCAAAUAAUAAGACAUGAGCUUCAUAUCUCAUUUCAAAUUCAAGUAAUAUGUUUUUCUUGAAUUCUUCAAACAAACUUGGAUUGUUGCUCGUGAAGAUGAGAUCAUUCACAUAUAGACACAUAAAUAUAGUAUCACCAUUAGAAUGAUACUUUACAUAAAGAACAUAUUCAUGAAGGCAACGAACAAAUCCGUUAUCUUCAAAAGACUUAUUUAUACAGCUAUUUCAUGCUCUUAGCGCUUGUUUUAGCCCAUACGAAGCUUUUUUCAAUUUCAACACUUUAUCUUCAGGCCCUUCAACCAUGAAACCCAAUGGUUGUUCUACAUAAACAUUUUCGUUAAGAUAGUCAUUAAGAAAUGUCGAUUUUACAUCAAGUUGAAAAAUUUUCUACUUUGUUUGAGCUGAAAUAGCUAAGAACAAGCGAAUAAUCUCCAUGCGAGCAACUGGUUCAAAAACCUCAUCAUAAUCAAUCCCAUGCUUUUGCUUGUAUCCUUUAGCCACAACUCUUGCCUUAUACCUUUUCACAUUUCCUUGAUAAUCUUCUUUAGCUUUAUAGACCAAUUUGACACCAAUAGCUUUAUAUCCCUUAGGAAGAGUGAGUAGCUCCCAUAUGUUAUUAUUUUCUAUGGAUUUGAUCUCUUCAUCCAUAACUUGUCUCUAUCUUGCAAUUUUGAUGACUUCAUCAAAAUUCAUUGGUUCACUGUCAAGAAAAAGAUAAAACAAAUUAUUUAUAUCAAAAUUAUUGAUUUUCUCAGUUUCAUCAUAAAGAUCUUGAAUGCUCUUCAACUUUCGUGGCCUUUCACUUGAACUUUCUUGAGAAGUGGGUGAUGCAACAUGAAUUGGAGAAUGAUGUGGAGUUAUCUCUUGUAAAGGUACCAUGGUCUCUUGGUCUUCCUUUUCAAAGUAUGGAAAGAAAUCAUAAGCAUUUUCUUCUUUCUUUUCUCAAUUCCAAGUCACUUUUUCAUUAAAUUCAAUAUCUCUACUUACCAUGAUCUUGUCAUUACUUGGAUUAUACAAUUUAUAUCCUUUUGAGUUUGUAUCAUACCCAAUGAAGAUAUGUUUGACACUUCAAUCGUCGAGUUUAGAUCUCUCUUGUUGUGGAACAUGAGCAUAUGCAAGACUUUCAAAAACUCACAAAUGGUUGACAUUAAGUUUCAUUUUGCUUAAUGCUUCUUGGGGAGUCAUAUUUUUUAAACUUGAUGUUGGAGACCUAUUAGAUAAAUAUAAUGCACAAGAAAUUUCUUCGGCCCAAAAUUCCUUGGGCAUAUUUUUUAUUUUCAACAUGUUUCUAGUCAUAUUAAGAAUAGUUUUAUUCUUUCUUUUUGCAACUCUAUUUUGUUGUGGUGAUCUUAGAACUGUUAAAGGGCGAUGAAUUCUAUUAGAUUUAAAGAAAUCAUAGAAUUCUUUGCAAGUAAAUUCACUUCAUCUAUCUGUUCUCAAAGACUUUAUUUCACAACUACAAUUUUUUUCUAUAAGAGUUUUGAAAAUUUUAAAAGUAACAAAAACAUCUAAUUUUUGCUUUAAAAAAUAUACAUAAAUUUUUCUACUAAAAUCAUCAAUAAAUAGUAGAAAGUAUUUAUUUUUAUCAAAUGAGAGUGGAUUGAUUGGCCCACACACAUCGGCAUUCACAAGUUAAAGUAGCCUGGUUGCUCUUGUAGUAGUUUCUUUUGGGAAACUCCUUCUUGAAUGCUUUCCAAGUAGACAUGCUUCACAUAAUUGAUUAGCAUGGUUGAUUAAUUGCAUCCCUUUCACCAUUUUUUCUUCUCCCAUCGCCUUAAGUGUGCCAAAGUUCAAUUGGCCGAAUCUCAUAUGCCAACAUCUUGCUUUAGAUGAACAUGUUAUUCUUUGACAUAUGCACCUUAGCAAUCAAAUUAACACUUUGAUCUCUAAGCGAAAGACAAUAACCUUUCAUAUGAAUUUCAUAUUCAUUUUCAAGAAGUUGACUUAAACUCAAAAUAUUAUUUUUUAACUUUGGCACAUAGUAAACAUUAGUAAUAAGUACAUACCCACAUUUUUUUUUGAAUAGAUUAAAAUUGUACAUUUUUCUUGAAUUUGAACUUUCGAAGAGUCUUUAAAGAAACAUUGUCAUUAAUCUUCUAAUCAAACUCCACAAAGUUUUCUUUAUUGGCACACAUGUGAUUGCUUGCUCCAUUAUCCAAGUACCAUGAAUUAUAGGUAUCACUAUCUCCCUCUUUACAUGCUAGCAACAAAGUUGUUUCUUUCUCAUUUUGUUUAUGAUUGACAAAGUUGGCUUGUUCCUCCUUCUUGUUUAAAGUGCUAUGACAUUCCCAAGCAUAAUGUCUAUAUUUGUGAUAAUUGUAACAUUCAAUAUUUGAUUUAUUAGAAUUCCUAUAUUUACCUCUUCCUCUUCUUCUUCUUAUUCUACGCCUCUAUUUGAGGGUUAACUUUUGUCUUCAUUAUCGACAUCAUCUUGAGUUUCAUUUUUUUAAAAUGUUUGACCAUGGCCACAACCCCGUCCUCUACCUCUUUCUUGUUCGCUUUGCUUUCGACCAUCAUUCAAAAAUGCAUUUGAUUUGAGAACUUGUUCCAAACGCUCUUCUUGUCUUCUCUUCAUUUUUUUUUUCUUCAUGAGCUUAUAGAGAUUCCUUUAAUUGUUCAAAUGUCAAAAUAUAUAGAUCCUUUUAUUCUUCAAUGGUACAAACCAUAUAGUUGAAUUUUGGUGGCAACAAUUAAAAAAUUUUCUGCACCACACAAACAUCUUCUGUCAUCUCAUCAUAUCUCUUUAUGUGGCUUACUAUAAACUUUACCCUUGAGCAAAAAUAUGAAAUGGAUUUAAAAUCCUUCAUUUGUAAAACUUCAAACUCGUCUCGUAAAGUUUGGAGUCGUACCUUCUUCAUAUUGUCGACUUCUUGGAGAGAAUUCUUCAAAAUCUCUCAAGCUUGCUUUGCGUUGGCAGCAUCAGUCACCUUUGGAAACAUAGAUUCAUCCAAACUUUGAUGAAUGAGUGCAAGGGAUUGUUGAUCCUUCUUCUUUGUUCUUGUAAAAAUAUCCUUCUCAUUUUGAGUUAAGGAUCCUUCAUCUUUGGAUGGAGUAAAACCUUUUUCUACAAUAUUCCACAUAUCUUAUGAGUCAAGUAUAACUUUCAUACAAAAACACUAACUAUUAUAGUUUUUUUUAUAAGACGAAAAAAUUGGAAAGAAAAUAGAUUAUGCUAAUCAUCUCUAGAAUUUUAACAAGGAACCAAACUCUGUUACUACUUCGUUGGAGAUAGGAAAAAGAGGUUAGAGAGACUAAUGAGUAGACUUAAAUUUUUCUAUUAUAAUUCUUAUAAAAAAAAAAAAAAAUCAAGUACAUGAUUAUUUAUAGACACUAUUACAACUAUUAAAUUUAAUUGUAAUCAUUAACACAUAUAAUAAAUCUAAUUUAUAAUUUACACCUAUUAUCAAAUUAAAAAAUAUAUAGAAAUUUUAAUUUAUAAAAUUCAAUUAUAAAACGAACCAAUUAAUUAUAUUCUAAUUUAUAAAUUAAUUCAGAGAUGAUUAUUUUGUUAAUAUAUACCAAAACUUAGCAGAGUGGGAAAAAAGAUCGAUUACAAAAUAGAGCUGUAUUACAUAUAUAUAUUAUGAUCGUUUCGGGAUAUAUCAAAGCGUGGUGACUUAAUUUUUGCUGCUUCUUAGCUUUGAAUUUCUCCUCAGCCGAAACCAAAAAGGCCCAAAAUCAAAUAGAGAAUUUCUCCAGAUUUAACAUGAGCCCUCUUUGGAAUUCCACAUAUGGAUAUGCUAUCGGUUGCUCAUUCUCUUCUGUUCUCCAUCUGCAAGCCCAAUUCUCCACAUGAUUUAGCCCAUGCACAAAAUAUAAUAUAUAUAUAUAUAUAUAUAUAUAUAUAUAUAUAUAAAACAUUUCAAAUUCAAGUCAACUUUAUAUUUUCAUCUAAAGAGUGAAAUAGUUGUCAUAUCUUAAUACCAGUACCUUAAUAAAAUUAAAAGUUAGAGCAGUUGAAAGCACCUGUGAUUAACUUGAAUAUAAAUUUAAGAUCACCCUUUUUUUUUUUUUUAAAGGGUUAAUCCGAUACCUAAUAUUACAUUAGAAAAAUACGUAAUUAUUGAGUUUUAUAUAAAAAUUCAAAUCACAUACUACCAAUUUCGACAGUUUGAAAAUAUAAAUCUGAAAGUUAUUGAAUUAGGAGUGCUUAAGUCAGGAAAAUUACAUAUUAAGCACUAAACCGAUCAUUCAUGAGAUUUACUAACUCAACAUCUAGGUCGGUAACAUAAGCUUAAUUUUAAAAUGUAGUUAAAAAUAAUUAUACCUGAAAUUCCGUACAAGGUGGUGGAGGAAGAAUGCAACCUCAACCUUGGCAAGUUCAGAACCUGGACAGCACCUAGAGCCUCCACCAAAGGGUGUGAAUUUCUUGCAUGUUUGAUCUUGGCUCUGGAGUACAUAAAUAAACAACAAUAACAACAAAUCAUUAAUUGAAUUUUAAUUAAAAAAUUAGAUGAGAUACGGUAAUUGAAUUAAACUAAUCCUUAAUUAAUUAGAUAAUAAUUAAUUACAUGAGGGCUAUGAACAGGCUAAUCUCUAUACCAAAAGAAAAAGUCAAUCACAUACAAAAUUUAAAAAGCAUUAUGUACCCCAGUUUAAAAGACUAAAAAGCUAUUAGCUUGUCCUACAUAUAUUGGUCCCCCACUCAACAUCAAAUUAUUAAUCAUGCCUUGUUUUUCUUAAAGCAGUAAUUAAGCAAAUAUAAAAAAAAAGUUAUGCAUUUGAUUAGCCAUUAUUGUUAAUUAAUUAGAUGUAAUUAUAUGAUAAAGUUACAUUAUUACCUCCCAUCUCCAAGGAUAGAAUUGGGGAGCACUUGCAUGGAGAGAUGGGUCUAAAUGUACUGCAGUAAAAACAGGUAGAACCUUCCAACCACAUGGAAUUACAUAAUCUGUCACAAAAUUAAUGUAAUUUAUAUUAACCCAAAUUUGUAUUUUAAUUAAGUAAAUCAAUUUAAAUAGUCAAAAACCUCUAAAUUUGACUUCUUUAAGGGCUUUUCUGUGCACAAAUUUUACAACGUUCCCAUAUCUGAGAGCUUCAUUGAUGACCUACAAAGAAAAUUAACAUGCAAUUAUCUAUAUCUAUAUAUAUAUAUAUAUAUAUAUAUAGUAAUAUUGAGCAUUGUAAGUAGUUAUAGUAUUGCUGGCAGCUGAGAAACAAAAAAGUGCUCUAGAGACUUCAUAUCAUCAUUGCAUGCUAGAAAUUACCAAAAAGAAAGAUAAUUAAUUAGUAAAUAUAGUCAAGAGUAAUUACAUGUUGGGUAAAAUCCAUUCUCCUGUAGUCUUCCCAGUUCAAAAACUCAUCUUUCUGCUUCAUGUUUCUGAUAGUCUCAUGCUCUACCUAUACGUUUUUGUGGACAUCAAGUCUUUUAUUAUAUAAAUUAUUGAAUGCAUAUACAUAUAUUUUAAGGUUUGAUGUAUGUAUAUAUAUAUAUAUACCUUUAACUGUCGUAAUGCAUUGGGUGAGUGAGCUAGAAAAUGCACCAGCAUUGCCAUUAAGAGAGAUGUAGUUUCAUAGCCACCCAGAAGAGAAUCAAGAACAAAGCUCACUUUUUCAUCUUCAGAUAAGGUAUCAACUCCCAGAAGUAUCCCCAGAAAAUCACUGCUACUACUUUUUCCACCAUUACUCUUUCUUCUUUCCUCUAUAAUUGCUUUGACAGUAGAAGAUAUUCUGCUUCUAGCCUGUAAAGAUGGUCAAACAAAAAGUUGAUCAUCACAUGCCUCCUUUUUCCAACCAAAAAGGAAACCCACCUCAAAACACAUA